rnacentral:rRNA from 1 species
UACGUAGGGGGCAAGCGUUUGUCCGGAAUCAUUGGGCGUAAAGCGCGUGUAGGCGGUCCGGUAAGUCCGCUGUGAAAGUCCAGGGCUCAACCCUGGGAUGCCGGUGGAUACUGUCGGGCUAGAGUACGGAAGAGGCGAGUGGAAUUCCUGGUGUAGCGGUGAAAUGCGCAGAUAUCAGGAAGAACACCAAUGGCGAAGGCAGCUCUCUGGGACGGUACUGACGCUGAGACGCGAAAGCGUGGGGAGCGAACAGG